rnacentral:rRNA from 1 species
GAUGAACGCUGGCGGCGUGCCUAAUACAUGCAAGUCGAGCGAACAGACGAGGAGCUUGCUCCUCUGACGUUAGCGGCGGACGGGUGAGUAACACGUGGAUAACCUACCUAUAAGACUGGGAUAACUUCGGGAAACCGGGGCUAAUACCGGAUAAUAUAUUGAACCGCAUGGUUCAAUAGUGAAAGACGGUUUUGCUGUCACUUAUAGAUGGAUCCGCGCCGCAUUAGCUAGUUGGUAAGGUAACGGCUUACCAAGGCAACGAUGCGUAGCCGACCUGAGAGGGUGAUCGGCCACACUGGAACUGAGACACGGUCCAGACUCCUACGGGAGGCAGCAGUAGGGAAUCUUCCGCAAUGGGCGAAAGCCUGACGGAGCAACGCCGCGUGAGUGAUGAAGGUCUUCGGAUCGUAAAACUCUGUUAUUAGGGAAGAACAAAUGUGUAAGUAACUAUGCACGUCUUGACGGUACCUAAUCAGAAAGCCACGGCUAACCACGUG